AAGAUUAACCGUUAAGAUCGUGAGUUCAUGGGUGUGGUGAAGUGAGAAAAUGUAGGGAUUUUUUGUUUAAAAACUGUUAGACGAUAAUUAAACGAAAUGUUUUUACAUUUAUUUUGGUUUUUGCUUUAUUUUUUGAAAAUAUAUUCCACUUGUCAAAAUUUUAUUGGACAAAUGACUUGCGCUUUAGUAUAUAAAAGAUGUCAGAUUUUUAACUACGAUAAAUUGAUUUUUAAAAGAAAUAUAUUUGUUAAAUGUUCUUAAUCUAUUAAGUGCCCCACUUAAUCCUUCAGUGUUUUUUCAUAAUAUUUUAUUAAUAUUAUUCCUUUAUGGAUCCAAUUAUAAUAUGCGUUAGUAUCUAUUAAUGUAAUUAUAUUUGUUUUGAAAUCUUGUCAUAUAUGUAAAGUAAUAUUUGUAUACCAGUUUUGUAACUAAUUCUAUUAAUUAUUUGGAUAUACAGUAGAACCACUAUAAAUUUAUAC
rnacentral:lncRNA from 1 species